CUGUUACAUAUACAUACACAAACGUCAUUAAGAAAUUUUUAUCUUCCAGGUUAAGGAAGAAAAAGUUGAUCAGUUGAGAUGGAUUCUCUCGGUGGUGAAGGUAUCGACCCAGCCGUGGUUCCCACCGGAGAAGCCACCGGAGCAUUUUUAGAUUUUGCAACUCAGACGGGACAUGCAGAUGGAGCUGAUUGGCAAGAAGAGGUUUACCAACAGAUCAAGUCUAUGAAGGAGAAGUAUUUAUCAGAUAUCCAUGAUGAAUACCAGAAUAUUGCUUCUAAAGUGCAGCAGCAUGAUUCUCUAUCUCCAAAUGAGAACAUUGAAAAGCUCAAGAUGUUCAAGACGAAGUUGGAACACAUUAUGGUUUUCUUGGGCCUUAACAAGCAUGAUAUUCUGGUUACUCACAAGGAGAAACUGCUUUGGGUUGAGAAACUCAUAAGUUUCUUUCUUUGUUCCCAUAGGCCGCGCAAGCGCUCUUUUUCUCUACUGCAGGGGCAACUUCCUCAGUCUUCCAUACAGCUUCAACAACUACAAUCUCUUGAUGGUCAAACCAAUCCACUGAUGCAACCUGUACAUGGUUCCAUGGCGGCAAUGCAACAGAAUAACCUCACCAACCCGCAACAUAUUUCCUUGUCUGGCAUAUCGACAAUUUACAACUCCCAGCAAGACGGAAUAAUCUCACCAGCUACUGGCUUUUCUCAACAGAAUCCUGUCAACAGUCCUCAAGAAGUAAGCAUAAGCUCAUUAAGUUCACAAAGUGGAAUGCACCCAGGGCAGGCAAACCUCGGUUCCCUAUGGCAAAAUUCAAGCGUCUUGCAACAGUCACUUCUUAAAUUGCACGAGCAGCAAAUGUUGCAGGACCAGCAAUUAAGACAGAUGUAUCAGCAGCAGCAAGCUUUUCAUAGCCAGCAGUUAAUGCAACAUCAGCAACUUUUUCAUAGACAUCAGUUAAUGCAACAACUGUUAAGGCAACUGCAACAGCAGACUGUGCAAUUGCCCGCCCACAAGAUGUCACAGCUUCACCAGCUGACUGAUGUUAAUGACCUAAUGAUGAGGCAGCAAAUGGGAAUGAAAACAGGAGUUUUACAGCAACAGCAGUCAGUUGGCCAGUGUGUUGGAUUUCAUCAUCCACAAGUGAAGUCAGAAAUAUCUUCACCUCAAGUCUAUCAGGCAGUAUCUCCUCAGAGACAAAACCUACCUGCUGUGGAUGAAAGCAAGAACGUUGCAAAUGUGCCCUGGAAUUUUCAAUGAAGCUAGUCCCAAUGAAUGAGGUACCUGAAGCACUCAUGAGGUUUCUUAAGUCAUAGGCUCUUCAAGAGCACAUUCACUCUUUACACCUUUAGAUUCCUCAGCUCAGAUGGGAAAUGCAAAUGGUGCUGAUUGGCAGAAAGAGGUUUACCAAAAGAUCAAGUCUAUGAAGGAGAUGUAUUUAUCAGAGCUCAAGUAUAUAUACUUGAAAAUUGCUUCUAAAGUCUGGCAGGUUUGUUUUUUAGCUAAAUUAGCAGAUCCCAAGCGAACCAUAGUCCUUGAUAUAAUUACUGUUACUGGAUUUUAGUCUUAACUCUUCUCUUUUACUUCCUUCAAUCAUCAUAAUGUCCCACCUAUUGAUGCUUUCGGACGUCUUCUUAGGACAUGUCUAUACCUUCUUAGGUGAGAGAGCCAUCUUAGACGACGUCUCAUUUUAACCUUUAUGUGACACUGUUAUAUAGACAUGAUUUUGAUGUUAAUCUUUUUUCCUUCACUGAAAGGGAUCAAGGCCUCCCUAAUUCUUUGGGCUUGGGCUUUAUAUAUCUGAGUUUUAAAAAGCACUCAUGACAACAUUUUGUUGAAACAUAGAAUGCUGGCUAGUUUGUUUUCUUUUGCUUUGUUUUUUUUUGUUUUGUUUUUCUUGAUGGUUGAAGGUAACGUAUGUGUUCAUUUUUACUAUGUUAUUCGUCUCUUUAUGCCUUUUCUCAAGUUUUCCGGCCUUUCUCUUGGCAUGUGAGGGGUACUAAGGGGUUGUUUGGUAAUUGGUUAGAGUUAUGCACGUCUUAGUAAUGUAGGAAUUAGUUAUGAGUGAAUCUAUGUAUCAUUUUAUGUAGGUAUUCGUUAUGUAG